CCAACUGCUUCGUGUAUAUCAAUCAGAAUGCAUGAUUAAUAAUGACGAACACACAUCACCCAGAACACCUACGUAUCCCUUCACACCUUCCUCCAACAACUCUCCACCGUUGUGAUCUAAGCCCCUUUUCUGUCUUUCGACGAUUUGUCAGUCACCACUGCCGGAGUCACAGUUGCCUUCUGCUCGAUAGCGAUGGUAGGUAAAUACUGGCCGACACUGCACAUAAAUUAAAUUAUAGUGGAUUCUAAGAAUUGACGCGCCGUGUAAAUAACAUACUCCUUCUUUGAUGAGUGCACGGGAAUCGAGGAUGGCGGCGGAGCUGUCAUGUGGGCUGGUUGUCUUAAACGACUGCUAAUCCCGUGAGAGCGGAGGAGGAUCGAACCCGAUGCUGCUGCAGCUCGGAAGUCGACGGAGACCUUCGCCCGUGCCACGAAAGAAAGAAAGUCGAUUCGAUCCACCUCGGGCAGGCAUCCACGAUUUGGAGUCGAUGCAGAAAGGCAAUAUACAAUUAUCUGUGCUUCAACUGUUUGUCAAUAUAGCACUGAGAGUUCCUAUUCUAGUUUCUUUACUAUAUCGUUUUGUUUCUGCUGAUCCUCGUCGUAUGAUAUCUCCAUCCAUAGGCGUGCAGUUUCUGUAUUCUGAUGGUAGUUAUAAGGUGGUUUCAAUAACUACCUCAUGAUCUAGUAGUUAUAGGGUGAUUGUCACUAGGUCCUAUAAAUAGGACCGUAGUUCAUGUAUAUAGAGAUAGAGAAAAUAAAGAGUCUGUGUGCAUUUGGUAUCUUGUAAGUGUUCUUAUCAAUUCUCAUGUUUUUAAUACUAUAUCAGUUUUCUUGAGUCAAAAUGAUUCUUUUUACU